ACCAGCCGCCGCCGCCUCUAUCUCUCCCUUCCCUCUUCUCUCUCCCCUCACCUCUCUCCUCGAGCCAUGGACGUCGUCGAGCCGCCCGUGACCGCGCGUCCGCCGGCGCAACGAACACCAGGCCGUGACCCCGCGUCCGCCGGCAACAGUGGUGCGGGCGCGACAGCGGACGCCGCGGCGCGUAGCGAGGGCGCGACGCCUCCUGAGGCGCGACCGCCUCCGUUCGCGCGGUUCUUCCGGUACCCGCAGUACGCGUGGCGCCACGCGGUGGCGCGGGAGGACGGCGUCGUGGCCGUGGAGGACGAGGCGAGCUGCGCCUCCGCGGUGGCGAACGUGGAGGUGGGCCUGGUGGUGGACGCGCACGCCAGCCUCCGCGUGAUGGCGCCGCGGCGGCCCAGGCAGCUGCUGAGGCUGGUGGCCGGGGUGCAGGCGCUCGGCCUCGCCGUGCUGCACCUCAACGUGGCCACCGCGCCCGACGCGACGACGCUCUACACGCUCAGCCGGCAACAGUGGCGCUCUACACACUCAUCAGCAUCAUUCCCUGGCUCGUUUUGUUGCGCUGCCUGAAACGGUGCAUCACCGUUCGAACAUGCACUUUUGUCACAAAGUCACCAGUGCCACUAUGCAAGCACACAUGGCCAAAUCCGGCUAGGGUUUCCUUUCGAGUCAGUGGGUACGGGCCAUAUCUGGCUUCGUCUGAUGUGCUAAUCGCGCGAUGGCUGGUACAGGGCGCAGGAGAGGCUCGACUUCCUCUACGAGUCGGGGUUGGCCGUCGGCAAGAGCUCCGAUGGGUUCCAGGCGCUGCAGCAAUCUGCACCGGGGGCAGCUGCCGCGUCCACUUCUGCACAGGAGAGUGCGGCUGAUUCUUCCAAGGCAGCUACACCGGGAGCUUUAUUUGAGGAUAAACCCCAAUCUGCAAAUGAUACAUGGAGAAAACUCCACUCUGAUCCUCUACUCCUAAUAAGGCAGCGAGGGCAGGAUGCGAUUUCAAGGAUUAAAAACAAUCCAAUCAAGAUGGCCGAGAUAAAGAAAUCUGUUAAACAUGCAUAUAGAGGAGUGUGGUGAUCAGGGCACCAUGAGAACUCAUUAUGGGCAUGAACAAGAUUUGAACAGCUACAGAACUUUAUAGCUGGGGCAACCACUGCCAUAUGAUCAAGAUCUGGGGCAACCACUGCCAUAUGAACAAGUUUUGAAGAGAGAAACAUCAAGUAAGUGCCGACAUCACAACCCCUACAAGCUUGUGCCUUAAAACAAGAGGAUACAAGAAGUUGGAGUGCUUUUGUGAAGGCUUUUGUGACUCACUUGAAGCUUUGGUACUUUUGUGAAUGAUUUUGUAAAGUGUUUGUAAAUAUGUGCAAAAUAUAAUAACAUGUGUAGGUUU